UACGAAGGGAGCUAGCGUUGUUCGGAAUCACUGGGCGUAAAGCGCACGUAGGCGGAUGUGCCAGUCAGGGGUGAAAUCCCGGAGCUCAACUCCGGAACUGCCUCUGAUACAGCACGUCUUGAGUCCGGAAGAGGUGGGUGGAAUUCCUAGUGUAGAGGUGAAAUUCGUAGAUAUUAGGAAGAACACCGGUGGCGAAGGCGGCCCACUGGCCCGGUACUGACGCUGAGGUGCGAAAGCGUGGGGAGCAAACAGG
rnacentral:rRNA from 1 species